rnacentral:lncRNA from 1 species
CUGAUGUUUAUAACAGCACUCUGAAACGUUUCUAAAGGGAUAUUAUCUUGCCCUAGGAGCAUGAGGCACCAGCCCUCUUCAGAAAUGAGCUAAUGUAUAUUUGAGAGAGGCAAGGGUGACCUCUCUUGUGGGAUAAACAAAUAUUUCAAGUGUGCUGCUGCACCCAUGUAAUAGAUAUUUAUUUAGACACAUCACUCAUGUUUAUUGACUGGUUAGGUACUAUACUAUAUGUGUGCAUUGUAAUGCAUGCCUGAGCAAAUGGGCAACUACAUUUUUCCUCUCGCUCUCUCUGUCACACACACACGCACGCAUGCACACGUUGUACCCACAUUGAAGGGAACCCCUUUAACACCAGUUGUAGGAUGCAGCUCAUUCAAAUCACACAAAGCGUUAUUGAUGUCAUACCAGUAGCAGAAUACAGUGCAAGCAGGUUUAACAAUAGUUAAUACUUCAUUACUAUGCAGGGGCUCUGCAGGUUUGACAUAGUGGAGGUGGAAGCAAAGCAUGUGUUGUCCAUGUGUUGUCUGUUCUCAUUUAUCUACCCCCACACUACUCUACUGUGUAUCUCUAGAGCAGAUACAUGUGUAAGUAUUGUCCUAUAAAUUGUCAAAGCCUUGCUAAAAAAAGAGAGAAAUCAGACCAUUGAUUACAGUCACGUUGUGCCCAACUGUAGACAUUAGUGAAAAACACUAUUUUGGGACUGUCGUCCUGCUGUGGAAGCACUGAGGCAGUGCUUUGUUUAGCUGACCAACUUCCUUUCCUUCCACAUCAGGGGGUAUUGUUAGUAUGUAGUUAUAUAAUGCUUGUGUUCGUUUGGCUGUAAAAACAUAUGUUGUGUAACCUAUGACAAAACUAAUUGGGUUAGAUUGACUACAGACCCACAUUUUUUUGGCAUGUGAGUACAUUGAGGAAAAUCUCUGGGCUUUAUAAGUCACUGUUAAUGAAUUAUGUCCCAUGGUGUAUAUUACUCUAUAAGGAGAAACCAUGGCUCUGUUCAUGAUCCACAACCUGAAAAACCUAACGGCCUGUCUAGCAGUCUAGCAUGUUGACAGAUUCAUAGCGGAAAAGUUCAGAUGUCUAACAACAUAGAACCAAGCCGGGUUGAGAGGGAACACCAGUCUUGCGCUGUUCUCUCGUUGAGAGUUAGGCAAGGCCUUUCCUGUGAUGCGGGGACAAUUGCUGUGAUCCAUCUUGAACCAUCGCUGUUGCCCAUCUCUUGUGAUGCUGAGGGGAAAGCUCCGGGUUCAGGAGUAUCUUCACAGUCCCUAAUACCCUGACUACACUGCUCGAGUCACGUGGGUGAUUGAAAGACGAACUGUUGCCGGUUGUCAUGGUAAUACUAUGAAAGUUUAGAUGCCAAUCACCAUCUAAGUUAAAUGAUGAAAAAGCCUGGAAGGAGGAGAGAUGACUAGAAAUGAUUCGGUUGACCGUUUUCAUAUGUGGAUUAAUUGUCAGAGUAGGGGACCUUGUGCAUUUCAGUGUUUGUUUCCCAGUUUUCCCGGUUCUGACCAUUCUGCCUGCCCUGACCCCGAGCCUGCCUGCCGUCCUGUACCUGCCUGACACUGACCUGAUUAUGAAACUCUGCCUGCCCUGACCCCGAGCCUGCUUGCCGUCCUGUACCUGCUUGACUCUGACCUGACUCAUACCUCUGCCUGUCCUCGGCCUGCCCUUUGGCCCAUGUUAUAAUAAAUGAUUGAGAACUGUAAUGUCCGCCA